rnacentral:lncRNA from 1 species
GUGUGUUAGGGUGUCCUGGACUGGGCGAAGUGGGUGUUCUGGGUUCUGAUGACGGAACCUUGCCUCUGCAGGUCUGAACACAACUGGGCUGGACCACUGCUUUAGCAUAGAGAACAGCAUGCUGCUCAUGCAGUUGGAACAUCUCUUGUGAAAAUCUCUCAAGCAUUCACUCAUUCGUUCCUUAAUUCAUCCCCUCGAUUGCUGGAGGUCGUCUCCUGAAAUGAGGAUUUGUUUGAUGUGAACAUGUUAUAGCCAUGCCUCCCUACCAUGUGACCUACAGAGAUGCAGAAUUCCCAGAAGGAAAAUCUCCAAACAAGUAGGAUGUUCUUCAGGGAAGCUCAGCGUAAACCGCCA